GGCAGAGAUGCGUGUGCUUUCGAGAACUGUGAGACAGGUGCUGCAUGGCUGUCGUCAGCUCGUGUCGUGAAAUGUGGGUUAAGUCCCGCAACGAGCGCAACCCUUAUCCUUUGUUGCCAGCGGUCCGGCCGGGAACUCAAAGGAGACUGCCAGUGAUAAACUGGAGGAAGGUGGGGAUGACGUCAAGUCAUCAUGGCCCUUACGACCAGGGCUACACACGUGCUACAAUGGCAUAUACAAAGAGAAGCGACCUCGCGAGAGCAAGCGGACCUCAUAAAGUAUGUCGUAGUCCGGAUUGGAGUCUGCAACUCGACUCCAUGAAGUCGGAAUCGCUAGUAAUCGUGGAUCAGAAUGCCACGGUGAAUACGUUCCCGGGCCUUGUACACACCGCCCGUCACACCAUGGGAGUGGGUUGCAAAAGAAGUAGGUAGCUUAACCUUCGGGAGGGCGCUUACCACUUUGUGAUUCAGACUGGGGUGAAGUCGUAACGAGGUAACCUAAUCUAGAUGCAUAGUGAGGUACCGAGC
rnacentral:rRNA from 1 species